GAUGAAGAACGCAGCGAAAUGCGAUAAGUAAUGUGAAUUGCAGAAUUCAGUGAAUCAUCGAAUCUUUGAACGCACAUUGCGCCCUCUGGUAUUCCGGGGGGCAUGCCUGUUCGAGCGUCAUUAUAACCACUCAAGCUCUCGCUUGGUAUUGGGGUUCGCGGUUUCGCGGCCCCUAAAAUCAGUGGCGGUGCCUGUCGGCUCUACGCGUAGUAAUACUCCUCGCGAUUGAGUCCGGUAGGUCUACUUGCCAGCAACCCCUAAUUUUUUUAAGGUUGACCUCGGAUCAGGUAGGGAUACCCGCUGAACUUAAGCAUAUCAAAGCGGAGGA
rnacentral:misc_RNA from 1 species